UUUAACACUUCAUGACUGAGAGCUGCCCUUCAUGGCAACAGAACCCACAGCAACAAUGACCUUCAUCACCAUCUUCAUCUGGACACUCUUCUGCUUUCAUGGUUCCAGUGGGCAGAUUACUGUGACUCAGACUCCAUCAGUGACAUCUGUUCUCCCAGCACAGACAGUCACUGUGAGCUGUAAGACCAGCAGUUCUGUGGGUAACUGUUAUUAUAGUGGCUCAAAUUACCCCUGUCUUGCUUGGUACCAGCAGAAAGCCGGAGAAGCUCCCAAACUCCUGAUGUAUGGGGCUUCAAUCCGUCAGUCUGGGAUCCCAGGUCAUUUCAGUGGCAGUGGAUCUGGAGCUGACUUCACUCUGACCAUCACAGGAGUCCAGGCUGAAGAUGCAGGAGAUUAUUACUGUCAGCAGUAUGGCAGUACUCCUCUCACACAGUGAUACAUGUCUGUACAAAAACCUCCCUCAGCUCUACAGGAGCUGCUCUGGCUCAUCAACAGGAACCACAGAGGACUGAGGCUGACAACAGCUGCAGAGCUGCUACAGGUGAACUGAGCACAACUAAGUUUGUGCAUAAUGUAUUAAACAUUUUUCUUAGAGUUAUGGUCAGUAUUUUUACCCAAAUUAUUUCCAAAUGUAAUCACAGUACAUUAUUCAAUGAAACUGAAGAUGAAAAAUAAAGAAUAGUGAAUACUUUUUAACAACUAUGGAGAUAAUCUUUUAUACAUUCUUGAUAAC